UCUCAAGUGAUGAACAUGUCAAGCCUAAUGGAUAAAUUGCCGUACACAAAUAUUCUAAUAUUUUACUGUUUUACAUUUCUCUGCAGAGGUCAGGGUAAGCUGUAACACUGUUUUAUCUUGUGAUGUUACUUUCAAGAGAGCAUAAGGGGACAUUUUGAAUAGAUUGGAGUCAUUAACUUAUUUAUAUGAGGUAUAAAUAAAACAGGGACUAUAAUCGUCUUCAUAUUCGUCUUUAGAUGAGCUCUUAGACUGUGGUUGAAGUGCUGCUGGGACAUUAACUGUUGCAUAGUCACAAUCAUCGUCAGUGAUUCUCUGGGAGUGUUGUGGUCAGUCCUUAAAAGGAUGUACAGAGAAGAUUCACAACUUCCUGUUGGGCUGCUUACGAAGGUGAUUCCCCACUACCCUGAAGUGACAAGUUUACUUAAUAACCUUUAGAACUAUGUGUCUCAGGUUUUGUAAUAAGGAUGACCUAUGUCUACAUAAAUAAGCGUUUCUGUAAAGGGUAUAUUGCAGAACUAAAUUGCAAAGAUAAAACACAGUAUGCAAUUUUCAUGUGUGUACAUCAGGCAGUGUGUGAUUUCAUGACACACUGAAAUACACAGAUGUGGCGGAUUGUUUUCGAAUGUAUGUAGAAGGCCAGGAAGUGGUAAGAAAAAUGAGGGCAUGCAGAAGAUAUAGUUUUAGAUUAUCUCUAAGGUCUCAAGUGAUGAACAAGUUAAGCCUAAUGGAUAGACUGCCAUACACAAAACUUCUGAUAUUUUUCUGUUUUACAUUUGUCUGCAGAGGUCAAGGAACUAAUCAAAACACCUCUGCAAACUCCAACACUACUACCCCUUUCAAAUAUACCGUUGACAGACAUACAACUUUCAAGAUUGGGAGUGAUGCUGAUCUCACAUGCAGUGAUAAGACAGUAAAUGAGACAAUAUAUGUUAUCUGGAAGAUAGACUUGAAAUACAAAGACUGUGAGAUAUCUUUUAGCAAUGAUGGCCAAAGUUUAGAUUCCUGCAAUGAUGGCAAGUCCCUGCAAAGCACAUCCAGUGAUGAAUUCUACCUGCACAUCCCAAACUUCUCAAAUGAUGACGUGGGGAUCUACAAGUGUGAUACAGCUUACAAGGGAGGAGGUGAAACUUACAAGAUCGACGUGUCUAUCACAGUUCCUCCCACUAUAUCAGCCUGGUUAGAGCGUAAGGACAACAUGGUGGUGGCAGUGUGCAAAGCUGAAAGAGGAAAACCUGCAGCCAGCAUCACCUGGAGUCAUAUGGAAAACUUGACGGCUGGGGAGCCAGUGAUUGACUCAAAAGGAUUUUUUACAGUCGAAAGUCGUCUGGAGUUCCUUGAGGGAAUGAAUCCAGAAAACCUGAGCUGUGUUAUCAGGCACCCGUACUGGAGAGAGGAACAGAUUUUUGUACCAAAACACAGAAAAGGUGAAGAAUGGAUAGCACAACAGAAAGGGUUUCAUCUCUGGGCUUAGUGCAGAAGCUAUAAUUAUUAAAUAUAAAGCUGUUUUAUGUUUUUUGGGAAAACAAUGACUAAAUGGUGUUUUAUAUUAUAGGGAUAAUUAUAAUUUAGAAUAGAUUAAAUAAAAUAGAUUUGAUGUGUAGCAUUGAUGUCCAGCACAUUAUUAACAAACCUUUAAUCUUCACUCACAGCAGGUUAU
rnacentral:lncRNA from 15 species